rnacentral:tRNA from 1 species
AUGGCUUAGUGGUAAAGCACCUGUCUAACACGUAAGGGGCCCUGGGUUCAAUUCCUAGU